rnacentral:lncRNA from 1 species
UCUUUUUUCACACACGAGAGAGAUCAAGAUCAUGUCCGGUUUCACCUUUAUGGGUGGACGUGGAACAAAAAAAACGCGAUUUUUGUCUGAUUGAGAUGAGAGUCAAGAGUCUCAGACGAAUGUAUGCCAAACACAGUAUAAAUUGUAGAAUUAUUUAAAGUUUGUUUUUGGUGUUUAUUAGGAUGGAUCAAACAACGACAUUCCAAGUGAUACGUUUGAAGUUCAAGGUUACCCGACGUUGUAUUUCAGAACCUCAAGUGGAAAAGUGUUGCCAUAUGAUGGGAACAGAACAAAAGAAGAUAUUAUCGAGUUCAUUCAAAAGAACCGUGAAGGCGAGAUUUCUCAACCAACCACAACAACCGAACCAGCAAAAGAUGAGCUAUGAAGAGUUUUCUUUUCCCAUCCGUAGUUCAGUUUCAUGUACUCUUUUAAGUUUUGAGACUUUUUAAGUUAAAAUUGCGGAUAUUAUCCUUAAAUUAGUUGUGUACCAAACCGCCACCUCCACCACCACCACCGUUGCCACCAUGGCCACCACCGGGUACUUUUGU